GUAUUAUAUGAAAGGAAAAGGUUAGCAUUCCCCUUGACAAGGAUGGAAGAGGCCUUUGGGCUUGACAUUCACAUUCAAUUAAGGCAUUGCCACCUACUUGGUGGCAUCUAACCAUUGUUUUUA